rnacentral:sRNA from 1 species
GCGCAGCGCAUCUGUUUCGGGUA